CACGGGGGGAGCAAGCGUUGUUCGGAAUCACUGGGCGUAAAGGGCGUGUAGGCGGUCAGGUAAGUGGGAUGUGAAAGCCCUCGGCUCACCCGAGGAUCUGCAUCUCAAACUGCCUGGCUUGAGUAUGGGAGAGGAUGAGGGAAUUCCUGGUGUAGCGGUGAAAUGCGCAGAUAUUGGGAAGAACACCAGUGGCGAAGGCGGUUCUCUGGGACGGUACUGACGCUGAGACGCGAAAGCUAGGGGAGCAAACGGG
rnacentral:rRNA from 1 species